rfam:Pseudomonas pseudoalcaligenes KF707 = NBRC 110670 strain KF707 ctg10003, whole genome shotgun sequence.
GUAUCCGUUCACCGAAAGGUCCCUGUCAUCCGGCAGGUCUGAAUUCAGCGAUGCGCUCGCCGCAUCGCACCCGGCAACGCCGGACAUUACCAACCCACCGGUGCCCGCACCGGU